UACCAGCACCCCGAGUGGUCGGGACGAUUAUUGGGCCUAAAGCAUCCGUAGCCGGUUCUUCAAGUCUUCCGUUAAAUCCACCUGCUCAACAGAUGGGCUGCGGAAGAUACUAUGGAGCUAGGAGGCGGGAGAGGCAAGCGGUACUCGAUGGGUAGGGGUAAAAUCCGUUGAUCCAUUGAAGACCACCAGUGGCGAAGGCGGCUUGCCAGAACGCGCUCGACGGUGAGGGAUGAAAGCUGGGGGAGCAAACCGG
rnacentral:rRNA from 1 species